rnacentral:lncRNA from 1 species
UUUAGGAUUUGGAUAGGAUUUGAUUUAGGAUUUAGGAUUUGAUUAGGGUUUGGUUUAGGAUUUAGGAUUUGAAUUAGGGUUUGGAUUAGGGUUUGAUUAGGAUUUGGUUUAAGAUUUAGGAUUUGGAUUAGGAUUUGGUUUAGGAUUCGGUUAGGAUUUGAUUUAGGAUUUAGGAUUUGGUCAGGAUUUGAUUUAGGAUUUAGAAUUUUAUUAGGAUUUAAGAUUCAAUUAGUUUGGAUGAAGUUCAAUAGGAUUUUAACUAGAAUUAAAUUAAGAUUGAAUUGAGAUGUAUUUGAAUGUCAUUUGUGUUCUUUUUAAUGUUUCUUUAAAAAUUCUUAUUGUUUGUUUGAAAUUUCUUUGAGGUUUUUUUGAAUUUGAUUAAAUUUGCUUAGCAUUAUUAUAAUCUAAUUAGAGCAUUAUUAGUAUUCUAUUAAAAUUAGGAUUUUGUUAUUA